rnacentral:lncRNA from 1 species
CUUUGACCCAAAGUCUCAUAGCUAAAAGGAAUAAUAUUUUAUGUGUAAUAUUUUAUCUCCUAGUAGCCUCAGGAUAAUGCUCUUGAGCCAUAUAUCAGAAGGGGAUCUCAAUUCUGGGCAAAAACAAAGCAAGGACCACAAGAGUUUUGUGUGAACUAUGCUUUCAACAUGACCUUGCAUGUAAGAACAGGUGAGCAGACAAAAAAUAAAAUUUGUACAUUUUUCUUUUCUUUCACCUAGAACACUUUGGUAAUUUUAUCUUUGCUAUCAUCAUCAUCACCAUCAUCAUCACUGUAUUAUUGUUAAUCUCUCUCAUACACACAUACCCUCUUAUGCUUUGGAUUUAAAAGGGACUAGGUGGGAAGGAGGAAAAAUCAAAGGAGCAAAAGAAAAUAGGGCUACUGAAAUACAAAGCAAAUGCCUUAAAAUGUAUAGAAGAAAAAUGAACUUAAGAGUUAAAACAAACAUUUAAAGUAAUUAAUUCUUUGGCUUCCUGUGAUAAAAGUGACUCAGGGUCGCCCCUAAGGUAUGAAAGAUCUAGAUGGCAAACAUUUGGAGGGAAAACCUAGCUUCAGAUUUAGUUGCUUUUAGUUGAUUUUAAACAUCACCAAUUUUGGAGAUCACACAGCUGAGCAAUAGAUCAUUAGCCUUCCACUAGGUUUGCUAUGGAUUACAUCUCUGAUGAACAGGUCGUGAUAAUGGUUAUCUAAGUUACUUUUCAGGGACUUAAAGAUCAUCUUUGUUGAAGCCAUCAACUCUUCACUUGAGCCUGCAUGUGUCCAAUGGAUGACCUUUUGACAUCAGGGCCCCCAUAAACUUCAUACUCAGAUCAUUCUAAUGCCACUAAUUUCUGAACAGACUUCCUAUGAAGAGCUAUGAAGGCUGAUUACACAUGUGCACAUCCCUAAUUAUCUCAUCUCCAAUCACCUGUCCACAUAUCUUAAAUAUCCUGAUUCUUUAUGUCAUAAAUAUCCCCAAACCCCAUCCUUUGGAUGUAGAUUUGAGACUUGGGUCACCUAUCUCUAUACUUCGCCAUCUUGAAAAUAAAUUAUUGCAAAAUUCGUUGUUUCAGCAAUUGGUGUA